rnacentral:misc_RNA from 1 species
AUUUCCAUUUUACUCAACUUUUCUACAUCAUAUCCCAUUCCAUCAUCUGCAGAUUUAAUAAUUUUCUUUAUCAAAUUUCUUAUGUCAAAUUCUUUUGAUAUACAAACCCACAUCAUAAGUUGAAAAUUAUUUUUGACUCCUCCAUCAUUAUAAACUAAUUUAGUGAGUGCAGUCUUUCCCGAACCUCUGACUCCAACAAUAGGAAUAAUUGAGACUUGUCCUCUAUCACCAGAGUCUUGUAAAAGUCUAAUGAUAUUUUCUUUA